UCGAGUUCGGGGAUUAGUAGGGUUUGUGAGCGACUAUCCACAGAGGUAAGAGUUCGAGCCCUUAAGUUGUUUUAUUUGAUUAUAGCAUAAUGUCGAGUAGUGGUAGCACAGGUUCAAGUAGUAGUGACAGUAGUCAGGCUCCUAGGGACUCAAACUAUAGUGAUAGGCCUGAAGAUGUAAAUACAUCCAUUAUACCUAUGGCCAUCCCCAUUAACUCUCAUAGCGACGUCCUGACCUA
rnacentral:lncRNA from 1 species